UACAGAGGUCUCAAGCGUUGUUCGGAUUCAUUGGGCGUAAAGGGUGCGUAGGCGGCGCGGUAAGUCGGGUGUGAAAUCUCGGAGCUUAACUCCGAAACUGCAUUCGAUACUGCCGUGCUUGAGGACUGGAGAGGAGACUGGAAUUUACGGUGUAGCGGUGAAAUGCGUAGAUAUUCGCAAGAACACCAGUGGCGAAGGCGGCUCACUGGCCCGAUACUGACGCUGAGGCACGAAAGCGUGGGGAGCAAACAGG
rnacentral:rRNA from 1 species